rnacentral:tRNA from 1 species
GGAUUGUGGCUCAGUGGUAGAGUGCUCGCCUAUGAUGCAUGGGACACUGGGUUUGAUUCUCAGCACCA